rnacentral:misc_RNA from 1 species
AAGUCGUAACAAGGUAACCGUAGGUGAACCUGCGGUUGGAUCAUUAAAAAAAAUUGAAGCUUCAACCCUUUCAAGGGUAGAAGCGUCAGUGCUCCUCUAACAAGGAGCUUGACUACUCCAAUUUUGUGAACUUGCAACCAAAAAAUGUUUUGAUAGUGGUGAAAGAUUUGGGCAUUACCAGCCCAAGUUUUUCCCUUCUUGAAAAAAUUGUUAACCCUGAAGAAAUAACUUGUCUUUACCGUUUUUUAUAAAUAAAAAUUAAUAAACAACUUUUGACAACGGAUCUCUAGGCUCUC